AUUGAACGCUGGCGGCAGGCCUAACACAUGCAAGUCGAGCGGCAGCGGGACCUUCGGGUUGCCGGCGAGCGGCGGACGGGUGAGUAAUGCCUAGGAAUCUGCCUGUUAGUGGGGGAUAACGCGGGGAAACUCGCGCUAAUACCGCAUACGUCCUACGGGAGAAAGCGGGGGCUCUUCGGACCUCGCGCUAACAGAUGAGCCUAGGUCGGAUUAGCUAGUUGGUGGGGUAAUGGCCCACCAAGGCGACGAUCCGUAACUGGUCUGAGAGGAUGAUCAGUCCCACUGGAACUGAGACACGGUCCAGACUCUUACGGGAGGCAGCAGUGGGGAAUAUUGGACAAUGGGCGAAAGCCUGAUCCAGCCAUGCCGCGUGUGUGAAGACGGUCUUCGGAUUGUAAAGCACUUUAAGUCGGGAGGAAGGGCUGUAGGUUAAUACCCUGCAGUUUUGACGUUACCGACAGAAUAAGCACCGGCUAACUUCGUGCCAGCCGCCGCAGUAA
rnacentral:rRNA from 1 species